rnacentral:misc_RNA from 1 species
AAUUCUCAACCCCUCUCGAUUUGCUUCGAGAGGGAGCUUGGAUCGUGGAGGCUGCCGGAGACCUGUUUUUCAGGACUCGGGCUCCUCUGAAAUGUAUUGGCUUGCGGUCGACUUUCGACCGUGCAUGACAAGGCCUUUGGCGUGAUAAUGAUCGCCGCUCGCCGAAGUGCACGAACGAAUGGUCUCGUGCCUCUAAUCAGUCGACGCCUUUUCGAAGGCGUCUUCCUUAUUGAC